rnacentral:tRNA from 1 species
GGAAAAGUCGUCAUUGGCAGGACAAAAUAUCUACUAAAUAUCGUGCAAUCGCACCUAGGUGUUCAAUUCACCUCUUUUCCG